rnacentral:rRNA from 1 species
GAUGAACGCUGGCGGCGUGCUUAACACAUGCAAGUCGAACGAUGAAGCCCAGCUUGCUGGGUGGAUUAGCGGCGAACGGGUGAGUAACACGUGAGUAACCUGCCCUUGACUCUGGGAUAAGCGCUGGAAACGGCGUCUAAUACCGGAUACGAGCUUCCACCGCAUGGUGAGUUGCUGGAAAGAAUUUCGGUCAAGGAUGGACUCGCGGCCUAUCAGGUAGUUGGUGAGGUAACGGCUCACCAAGCCGACGACGGGUAGCCGGCCUGAGAGGGUGACCGGCCACACUGGGACUGAGACACGGCCCAGACUCCUACGGGAGGCAGCAGUGGGGAAUAUUGCACAAUGGGCGCAAGCCUGAUGCAGCAACGCCGCGUGAGGGACGAAGGCCUUCGGGUCGUAAACCUCUUUUAGCAGGGAAGAAGCGAAAGUGACGGUACCUGCAGAAAAAGCACCGGCUAACUACGUG